GACGAACGCUGGCGGCGUGCUUAACACAUGCAAGUCGAACGGAAAGGCCCUUCGGGGUACUCGAGUGGCGAACGGGUGAGCAACACGUGGGUGAUCUGCCCUGCACUUUGGGAUAAGCCUGGGAAACUGGGUCUAAUACCGAAUAGGACCACGCGCUUCAUGGUGUGUGGUGGAAAGCUUUUGCGGUGUGGGAUGGGCCCGCGGCCUAUCAGCUUGUUGGUGGGGUAAUGGCCUACCAAGGCGACGACGGGUAGCCGGCCUGAGAGGGUGACCGGCCACACUGGGACUGAGAUACGGCCCAGACUCCUACGGGAGGCAGCAGUGGGGAAUAUUGCACAAUGGGCGCAAGCCUGAUGCAGCGACGCCGCGUGAGGGAUGACGGCCUUCGGGUUGUAAACCUCUUUCACCAGGGACGAAGCGUAAGUGACGGUACCUGGAGAAGAAGCACCGGCCAACUACGUG
rnacentral:rRNA from 1 species